rnacentral:lncRNA from 1 species
GAUUGUCUGGCUGAGAUCUAGUUUUUGUUAGUGAAAGAAGUUUUUUCUGUAUUUGUUUAAUUCAGAUUUUCCAUCAGUCAUGACUUAAUAUUUUAAGAUUUUAUUCAUAUGUAUUAUUUCCAAAGCCCCAUGUCAAUCGCAUUUGGUUAAUUUACCUAUCCAAUCUACUUUAGCAGCACUCAGUAUGAACUUGAAAAAUAUCAUAUAAAAAUGUUAAACUACGCAAAGAUCAAAUGAACAUGUUAGAGUUGAUUAUGUUCUCUUACUUUGGCAUCUAGGUGGUGGUUGUCUUAUUGGCAAUCAUACUACAUCUCCUUAUUUUUUGUGCCAAACCUUCACCAAGAUAUUAAUCCACAAUGUUGCUGAAUGCAAGUAACAUCUAUUGAUUUGCUGUUCUCUAUGGAUCUGAAUGUGAGUUUCAUGUAAAUAAAUACAUACAUUUUUAAGCAGUUUCUGUAAAAAAAAAACCUAGACUGAUCAUUUGAAAUCCAAGAUAUAAUUUAAAAGUUUUAUAUUCCCAUGCUUCCUUAAGACAUAUUUGCUUGGUUUUGAAUAGUUUUUCAUUUGAUAUUCUGAUUUUCUGUUCUCUGUGUUUUGUGAAGUAUGUUUCAGCUUAAUUUGCGAUGUAGGUUUUUGGGGGUCAUCAGUACGUUUUGAUGGAUCAUCCUUAUAUAUAAAACUGUCACAUGUUUUAAUGGGGUAUUGGUGUACCUUAAUUGCAGUAUUAUAUACUUACAUACCGGUAUUAUGUAUUGAAAGUAAACACAUUUUUAAAUAUUUUGUUUAAGAUAUAAGUAUUUUUAUGGAAAAUAUUUAAUAUUCAAUGACAAUUUCUGGAGUUAAAAAGUAUUCAAAAUUUGAUAAAAAUUAAUGCACCAAGACUUACCAGCAAAAACUGAUCCAACAAUUUAUAUAUUGGUCCAUUUUGGGAGGAUAUGUUUUAAAGCUUGAUACAAUUUUAGAAGCGGUAGAAUUUUAGGUUCAUCAACCUUUGAUAUUUAAGCUUUUUGUAAUGUAUCCUUAUGCACAAAUGCUGUACUCUGAAAUAAAGCUGAUUUUUGCAUUUUUUUUUUGUCUUAUAAGCAGCUGAAGAAAAAAACUCUCAAGUUUAUUUUCUUGUUUUGUAAUUUAAUGAUGUGGUUCUCUUUUAUUGUUGAGUUAGCUCUUUAAAAAAAAUAGAAUUUUCUUCUCUGUAUUAUGUUUUAAUGAAGACUGUUUACUUAAUCUAUUAAACUGUUUCAGUUUAAAAUCAGAUGUCCAACAAUAAACUUAUGUAUUAAAAAUGUGCAAUAAAACAGCUAAGAAAUAUUGUACAAUGUAUUAUUAAUACACCUUUUUUGUAUAUUUAUUUUGUUUAAUUCAUGGAUCUCGCUGAACAGCUGACAUAAGACAUUUUAUUUUGUAGCUUCAAAAUGUUAUAAUGUUUUGAUAUUUCCUUAGUUCCAGCCAUUUUCCUGAAAUGAAAACUAUACAAGGGGGUCGAGAUGGGGUUUACAGACUAGAGAAUAAUGGGUUCAAAAAAAGUAAAAAAGAUAAUGCACAGAGAAUAAUGGGAUGCAAAAGAAUAAAGAAUAACUAUGGAAAAUGUAAUAAAAUAUUAAUUACAGAAAUGAAGCCUGUAUAGAAACAAGAAAUCAUGUAAUAAUAAAUAUAUAUUAAUAAUUUCCAUGGGCAUUUUACAGAAUAAUCAUUGUUUUUAAAAAUAAAAAAAUAUGCUUCCAAAGGAUAAAAGAAUGCAGUAAUGAAGGAAACCCAUCCUGACCCUCGUAAAAUAAUUCCGUAGCUAGGUAGAUAUACUGUCAGACAAAGUCCAAUUCUGACAGGAUUAAUCAUCUUUAUGCAAAAAAAGAAAGUUAAGAACAGAUUCAUCGAAAAGAAGAACUCUUUAUAAAAACGAAGGAAAAAUUUAUUGGCAACAUUCCCACAAAAAUAUGCCUGGAAGAAAUUCUCUACAAAUUGUUUGAUAUCAAUGUAGAUUGUUAACAAUAUAUAAUUGACUUCUACUCAUUAUGUUGAUAUAUACUUUUACAUGUGUAUAUGGUAGUCCCAUAAUUAUACUUGAUGACUUUACAUUAUGUGAUCCUUUUGUAGGAAUUACCUAUAUUUACUUAUGUUGUUUUAUCAUAUAAUUAUAGUUUGUUU